AGACCAGCAUAUGAACGAUGAUCAAAAAGGUCAGCUCGCAUGCUGGUCGUCA
ensembl:miRNA